rnacentral:lncRNA from 10 species
GCAUGAGCCACUGCAUCCAGCUAUGUAUUUUGUAAUGGAUUUUUUUGCAUUAUCUUAUUUAAUUCUUACUAAUGACCCUAUAGUUAUAAUAGUUAUCUCAUUUACAUCAAUACAACAAUGAGGAAGGAGAGGAUCAGAAAGGUUGGGUCAACUUCCCAAUACAACCAACAUAGCCAAGAAGUGGCAGUGGUGGUUUGUACUCUAUCGACUGCAUUAGCUGGAACAAUGUUUCUCAGGAUCCUCUUGCCCGUAUGCAUGUAAGUGUAUGCAUGUAAGUACGGUUGGCCCAAAGACGAAUUCUUGCAAGAUUUGGGAAACAGAGUGAAACAGUAUCUAUUCCUCUCUCAAGGUCUUUGUAGUUUGCUGUGACAACACAUGCAGACACCUGGAGGGUUCUAGCAUGUCCUGGCCCUCCCCCACUUCACACCCAGAUCUUCCAAAUUUCCAGCACAGCUGAUCAACAGUAGCCACACACCCAUCACAAGGGCCUUAACAUGGAUCCAAAGAGGCAGUAGCCAGGCAAAGACAAAAGCUUUUCACCGAGUAUUCUUCCAGCUUUCUUUCAGGGUCCCCCUCCUGGAUGUGGCAGGCCUCCCAGAUUCCCCUGGAAGUUCUGACUUGCCCAUACACACAAGGACCUCAGGAAACCCAAUAGUGACUUUCCUCAGAUCUGUGAAUUCCUUCUUCUGGAAAAUAACCUUCUCAACAAUUGUAUAAUGGAGUCCUUUAUGUUGUAAACAAGAAUAAAAAAGAAAGUAUAGAUAUUGUGGAGUAGUUUUUUUGUGGGGGGGGGGUCCUUUCUUUAAAAACCGUGUGAAUAUGUGGUUCUCAAUCAUUAUAUCCAAAACAUUUUACUAUUUUUCUUGUAAGCCUUGUAUUUUAUUAAUAUUUUUGUCAAACAAAUUAAAUGGUAAUAAUACAUCCAUUUUACAUGCCAGGCAGAACUUCUAAAUAGCAGAUAAAAGACCUGUUACCUCAUCAAGGUAAUGAAUUCCAGCCCAAACAAAGACAUUUCAAGAUUUUUUUUAGCUUCAGUAGCGUUACCUUGGGAAAAAUAGUCAGUUUUUAAGAUUUUGUGGAAAUACAGGAAAUAGUGUCUAUUUUUGCAAAUCAUUAUGGAUAUAGGAACCCCAAAUCUAUUGAUAUAGACCUGCUUUUUCCCUCCUUUUUUCAUUUAACAAAAACUUAGUCAUGGAUUUAUUGUGCAUGAAGCCUUCUUAGGUUUCUACAAAGAUCAUAAAGAAAUAUAACAGG